GGCACUUGAGAUUCUAUGGAAACUACCGGGGCUGGCUUCGGUGGUACGAGGACGAGACAUUUCUGCCUCGGUCCCCGUAACCACGUCCCGGCUGCUAGAAACAGCAGCUCGCCUGGAAUAUCCGCUUGACUGGCCCAAAAAAGUUGAACUGGAUAGCAUAGCUUCUUUUGUAACAGCUGGAUCAUUUCCCACCGGGCUUUUUUGCUUUGAUAAGCCCCCCGAAUUUACAAGCCCUGCCGAAAUACGCCGACGAGAAGGGUCUGUUCCCGACAAACCACUGGUCCUUCCUUCUUCAGCACCUGACUGCCUCUCAAUAUUGGAAAUGGCAGGAACCAGCCCAGAGCUAGGUCCAGCACUAGACCCAAGUGGCCGGGGAGGAGCAUUUGCCAUCUGUGACUGCUGAUACUUUAAGAUGGUCCAAUCAAAUACAUAAUCAAACUGAAAA
rnacentral:misc_RNA from 1 species